AACAAUCCUUCUCUCUACACUUAGUUUUGGUAGUCAGUCAUUCUCUGUCUUCAAUGUCUAAGUUUUGCAGGUUAUGAAAUCAAGGGUUUGGGCUACCAUUCGAAUCUCUUCAGAAACCCAAAGGAAAGAAUGAGGGAAGUCCAACUUGGGGCACAUAUUGUAAGGUCCCAUGGAGUUAAAGUGGCAAGGACGCACAUGCAUGACUGGUUCAUACUGAUGCUUCUUGUGGUAAUAGAUGUCAUUCUGAAUGCUAUUCAUCCAUUUUACCGCUUUGUUGGAAAAGAUAUGAUGACCGGUCUCAAGUAUCCCUUCCAAGAUAACACCGUUCCUCUGUGGGCUGUUCCUGAGAGACGUCUAUGACCUUCAUCAUGCCAUACUAGGUGAAAAUAUCUUUCAGCACUGUGAUGGUUCAUCAAGAAAAACUUGUGUGCAAUCAUCGGAAUGAACAAUUAUUUUUUGGAUGGAAACAGGGAUCUUAUUCUCUUUUCUUAUAACGGCAGUCAUCACAAAUGGAAUAAAGGAUGCAGUUGGAAGACCUAAACCGGACUUUUUCUGGCGUUGUUUUCCAGAUGGGAAGGAUGUACACUCCUCUGACUGUAGUUCUUGAUGCUGGAUUAUGUAGUUCUUGAGACUGGAUCAUUUUAUUUUGGUGUUUCUACCUCAUCCUAUUAUUUGAAUGCUUCUCAGAUGUAUGAUCAAUGGGGAAAAGUUAUAUGUCAUGGUGACAAAUAUAUCAUAAAGCAAGGACAUAAGAGUUUUCCAAGUGGGCAUACUUCAUGUGAAAGCACCUCUCAUUAUAUCCACAUCUCUGGAUGUUUAUUUUAUUCUUUUAUUGUCGCAACACACAUUAGCCCCUAAUGUUUAUUUUAUUCAAAGGACUGCAAAGCCUUUAUCAAUUUGCAGGGUCCUUUGGUGGUUUGGGCUUUCUAUCAUUGUAUUUAUCUGGAAAGAUAAAAGCAUUCGACCGAAGAGGGCAUGUUGCAAAACUAUGCAUUGUUUUUCUUCCUCUACCUGUAGCAUCUCUUGUUGGCAUUUCUCGAGUGAACGAAUAUCGGCACCACUGGGAGGAUGUGUUUGCUAUAGCUCUCCUAGGUUUGUCUCGUGUGCUUAUCACGUUUUAACAUUUUUAUUUAUAUCUGAAACUACUUGGUGAUUAAUAUAGAUGCAUAUCAUCGAAUUUUUUUCCUUUUUUUUUUUUUUUUUGUUUUCUGGCCUCCCGGUGGUUACGUUUUACUAAACUUUUUUAUUUUUAUUUUUUUUCAGGCCUCACAGUGGCCAUAUUUUGCUACUUGCAAUUUUUUCCACCUCCUUAUCAUGCUGAUGGUAUGCUGCUGUUUCUUUUCUUUUGAAUCAAAUAUCAGAAGUUCCUUUGCUGUUUAAGAAGAUUUGUUGCUAGAAAUGGAUUUUGAAGACCCUUGGAUAAUUCUUACUACACUUGUUGCUUGGUUUGGAGCAAAUGAACUCUCUAGAAUUUUGGAUUCUAUUACUCGUAUAGGAUAUUUUUAGAUACAAUUAGAGAACUCUAGUGUAUUCCAUACGUAGAUACAUAAUUCUACACAAGUGUAGAGAAUUCUAGAAAGCCAAACUAUGCAGAUGAUCCAUGCAACAUGGGUUUCUCUGCUUUGUGCUGCGUGACAUAACCUUCCAAGACGGGUAUACACCAUAUAAAUAGUAUUUGCAUGACAAUUGCAGAGCUUUAUCAUCCAAAUUAGCUAAUCGCUCAUAUAGAAAGUUAG